AAGGGAGAAUCCCUGCGAAACAAACCAGACUGGAAAAAUCCACAAAUGAAAAAUGGGAAGGCCAGUCUUGCAGGGACCAAUGUGGUGGACGUGUCUACAGUAUGAUUAGCUGUGCGUCCAUAGUGUGAUACUGAAAAGGGCCUGUAUUCGUAUGCCGACAUCUAGCGGUCAAAUGGAAGAACUACAGCACAAACAAAGUAGGUCAUAGCGUCUUUUCAUGUUGUAGCUCUUUAAAUUAUAAGAACACCGUACUUUUGUGUUGUUCAUGAUAAAGCGACUUCAGAUUUGUAGAAUGUAUUGACAUACAGGUCCAGUCACCAACUGACUCCCAUUCUGUAAUUAACAGAAUCCUGAACAUUUCUGGGGUUGUGUAAAGUAUCAUAUACAAAAACAACACACUAGUUUUGUUUAAGCUCCAUUAUUGUUGGGUGGUAAUGUAGUGGAAGUGCAGAUUAAGCAUAAAACAACAUCAAUCCAUUGAUCUUUCUGAGAAUGCAAAUUUGACAUUCACUUCGAUGGAAGUUUCACAAUUUAAUACAAAACAGAAAAUUUGAAGCCAAACAUAUUUUUGGAAGUAUAAAAAAAUCAUUAAAAUUUCAAAAACAAGAGCUUUGUUUGCAAAAAUGUUUUGCUCUGAUGAACAUCAAACAAAAGUAAUCCAGUAAGUGGCUAAAACUAGGAAAACCAAAGGUUUCCAAUUUUCAAUGGAAUUUACCAUUUCUACAUUUCACUAAAUAAAACAGAUACUGAAUGUUUGAAAUGAUGGUGACAUCUUUGAUUAUUAUACAACAGAAACUGUUAAUUUUACUUAUGCCAAAUCAUACAAUAACACAAUAAGUCACAUGGUAAUUUAUCAGUUGAACUCAUGUAACUGUAUAAAUAUGAGAUUUCUGAUAUAUAAUGUUGUUUGGAAAAAAUACAUCACUACUCUUUCAUCUGAUAUAAUAAACUUUUUCCUCACCAUGCUUGCCGAGAUGCUCGACCAUCCUCCGCACCACCAGGGGCACACCAUCCUCCACCAGGCCCGUCUCUUGAAGCUCAAGCAGGGACGCUCCAAACAGCUUGGUUUGCUUUGCUGCCACCAUCCUGGUUCUCAGUAUGGGUAUCUGGACCAUCUUCUUCAUGUCUUCUUUGACCUGCACUGCUGUCUUGUUGUGCUGCACGGAGAAGAGCAGAGAGGAGCAGUCAGCCACGGACACUAUGGCCACAGAGAGCUGGGCUGCAGACGACAUCAGGUUGGGUUAGACUCUGCUGAGACACAGGUCUUGGAGGACAGGGAGGCUCACUCUGCUCCAAAGACGUAAUGGUCACAGUCCCACUGUCAUGCACUUAAGGCGCAGUGCGUGUGGAGAGCUGAAGGGGAGGGCUGGCCGUGCAUGUGUUGCUACGACAAAUAUCAGGUUACCAUGCAACACCUUUGGCUAAAGGUAUCACCAGAGUGCCACACAGAUAUACAUAUGCACAGGUAAUAGAUAAGUAAACACGUAAAAGUACUUGAAAUAGCAGAAAUUUGAAACACUGAAGAAAAGUACUUUUAUCUCCGAAAUUGUAUUUAACCACAGACAAUGAGUAAAUGUUCUUGCGCCUAUGAUGUGCUCUAUUUUCCAGGCUGAGCCCAUUCCUCUCAACAGACAAGACCAGAGUCUAAGCACAAAUUGAACCUGUUAAUUCACCGGCUGUUUUCUAAGGCAAACAAUGCCAAAUGUUGUCCCUAUACCUCUUCGUGUACAGUAGAUACACAGACUGUACAACACUCUCAUUGUCUUUCUCUGAGUGUGAAAACACUCUACCUACAGAAACACCAUCUCCAUUCAGUGAAGCAAUAUUAGACAGAAAAUAGUAAAUUACAGAUUGGUUUUCCACAUUUACCAACAACAUAACACAUUUCUGUUUUUGUAUAGUUGGUGAUAGGAGCAAGAGAGAAGACACAAACCACAAGCAGCUUUCGGACAGUGUAAGGGAAAAAAAACAGAAACAGAACUUUAGAGCAAGUUGUAACCAGUGGUGUAGUGGUGCCUGGAGAAGUGGGUAUACGCUUAAUUUAUGCCCCUCCAGCAAAGGAUUAAUGCGCCGUUUCAAACAGGGACCUGUAGGACGACUCUUGCAUUUUUAGUUCACCCAAAAUGGGCCAGUAAUAUUUGCACAGUGUCAAUUAAUUGCAGAUACAGAUGCAGAUGCAGCAUCAAUACAGGCCCACAGAGUAGAGGGUGAGAACAACUGCAUGAUUAUGCAUAUAGUCAACUAUCCCUUAGUCCGUUCACACAUGAGAACUGGAAGUAGUCUAUGGGCCAGUAGUUUAUUUUACUAAACUGUCACUUGGAACAGUUGGUUUGCAGCAGAUAGUGUGGGCCUGGGUGUGCCAUUGUAAAGUUAACAUUCAUCAAGUGGACACUUUGCAAAUGUUACUGGUCCCACACAGGCCCUAGUGCAUGAAUAUGAAACAUUCGAGAUGAGGUAAACAUGGUGUAUCAGUCUGUUUAGUCAAUUUAAAUAACAGCACGGCCUUUUCUCAAACUAUUAGUGACAAAACGAGAAAUACAUAUUCAACAAUGACACUGUGCAUCUUCAGGUCUACUAUUUAGUUUGCUGUCAUCCUCAAUUGGAAUCGCCAUUGAGUCUAAUUGGAGGCGUGUCCAGCAGCACUCUGGUAGGAGACUCACUGACUGGAUGCAUUGACAGUCACACGUAAGUCAACCUGGUAUUGUCGGCGUGCUGCUUGUGAAAUCGUGCUCACUGUUGUCGACGUCUUCACGCUAAGUUAAGUCUAGGGGGUAGAAUCUCUGUCCCCGUCUGCGUUCUCUCCGGCCGGGACGUGGGGGGUGGACCGGCGGGAACUCAUUCAUUGCUAUCAUUCAUUGCUACCUGAGCUGCUAGCUAGCAGCAUCGAUGUAGGAACACUCGAUCUUUGUUGGUGUGGUUCGCUUCAUGUGUAAUGUAAUAAACACCAUAUGUAGCUGCGUUGGAGUAAUAUCAAGUCAGAUCCUUUCACCCAACAAGGCAAACGAAGGUAUGACCGGCCCUACUCUGCCUCUGAUUAGCGGACUGUGAUAUUCUUAUGCAGUCUCUAACCAAUCACCACUCCUCAUCUGACCGACCUCACAACAAAGGCAACGAGUACCAGCCAAUCAGAGACAGAGCAAGGCGGGUCAUUCAGCUCAACAGUGACCGCCCACUUUUUGAAUGGCUCCGGUUCUGGAAGUAAAUUUCCCAUCCAUUUACUCCAUUGACAUUUCAUAAAACCCUAAUUUAUAGAGUUUUAAGCCGGAAACCAAGCCAAUAAACUAGGAGAUGAAUCGUUACCUUAAAAAAUUUAUGAGAAGCAAAAAGAAUGGCGAAAGGUGCACAUUAUUUAAAGAGCAGGGAACUACUUAUCCCAUAAACCAUUGCCAAUGCCUUUCGAACUACUUCUAGCCGACAAUUUUGUGUGCUUGUUCUUGAAUUUAACCUUCAUCAUUGUUAUAGUGUUUAAAUUGUUCAUAAUAGUGUCAUAAUGUAGUGUGGCUUGUUUGUGUGUGUGUGUGUCUAUGUGUGGAUUUAACGAUUGUAGUGUUCAGGGACAGCAGUAACUCAUGCUGCGUUCCAUUACAUCUCGGAACUCGGAGCUCGGAACUCGGGGUUGGAGGGCUUCGUCCAACCUUCCCAGUCAGAAUUGUGGGUGUUCCAGUCGCAACCUCCGACUCAGAGUUCUGAGGCAUAAUGGAACGACAACCGCGACGUCCGAGCUCUUAGUUCCGAGGUAAAAUGGAUCAUCACUAGCCGACAUGAAGACAUGAAACGUUUCCAUGGUAACAGCGAGCUAGUAGAUGCCAUAUACCUGCAUAUACCCUCCACUACACUACUGUUUAGACACUGCUGAGACACCUGUCCUGAUGGAGGGAGGCUCACUCUGCUCCAUAGACAAAGGUGUGUGUGGAGGAGAUGCUGGUCUGUGUCUCUAUGCAGUCCAUGUGUGCACAUCCUGCAGUCGCACUGUCAUGCACUUAUGGUACAGUGCAUGUUUUGCUACGACAAAUAUCAGGUUACAAUGCACCUUUGACUAAAUGUAUCUCCAGAGUGACACAUAUAUAUAUAUAUAUAUAUAUAUAUAUAUAUGCAAAUGCAAAAGUUAUAGAUUAGUAAACACAUAAAAUAACUUAAACUAGAAGAGCAUUUAAACAUCUCACUGAGAUGAGUAAACGUUCCUCCACCUGAGUGUGCUCUAUUUUCCAGGCUGAGCCCAUUCCUCUCAACAGACAAGACCAGAGUGUAAGUACCAAUUUAAUGUGUUAAUUCACCAUCUGUUAUCUAAGGCAAACAGUGCCACAUGUUGUCCCUACCUCUUUGUGUACAGUAGAUACACAGACUGUACCACACACUAUCUCGUCUUUCUCUAAGUGUAAACACACCCUACCUACAGAAACACCAUUUCCAUUCAGUGAAGCAACAUUAGGCAGAUAAUAGUAAAUUACAUAUUAUUUUUUUUCUCAUUUACCUACAACAUAACACAUUUCUGUCUAGGAGCAAGAGAGAAGGCACAAACCAGAAGCAGCAUUCGGACACUGUGUGAGAAAAAAACCCAGAAACAGACUUCCUGCAUUUUAGAGCAAGUUUUACUCUUGUAACCAUAGCUACAACUGCACCAUGUGACAUCAUGUCAUUCCAGAGUUCACCACUUCAAAUGAGUGAACUGGCCUGAAUGAGAGGCCCCGACUAUGAUCUGGUCACAGUGAAGUCCACAGAGGUUUAUUGUGUUAGGAGGGUUGGUGGUGAGGAAGAAGUGCCAUUUAGUUUAUUCCCUAUGGGGCCAAUUGUUUAGACAGAAUGGGCACAAGCAAGUGCCACACUCAGUUCAGCUGAUUAAAAACCCACCUCGCAGAUGGCGCUAAGAUGGCUGAGGAGACAAGAUCUUCACCGUGGCAGAUGCUUUAAUAGGACGUGCAUCCACACUCCCAAAUGAGCAUCUGAGAAGCUUUUUCAGGCAAUGAGUUAUGUGUUAAUCAUGCUAAUCCACUCCUCUCUGACAGGUGCAUAAAAAUAUGCCAACUGCACGUCCCAAGUGAGUGUGAAACAUAAUUAAGAACACUUGGAGUUUGAUUCUGACGGCUUCAUGCUUCGAUGGCUGCCUGAGGAUAAAGGCUAAACAGCACUGAUAUGCAGCAUUUCAAUGGAAUAGACCACUGCUUAGAUCCUCAGGUUUGAGGAGAUUUUGCGGGGUUUUUUUAUAGGAGUAUGUAUAAAUAAAAGUUUGGAUAGAUGUAAAAAAAAAGAAAGAAAAGAAAAGCCAGAAUUAUUGACUGUUUUGACAGUAUGGUAGAAGAGGAAUUUUCCAAAAAUGUGUACGUCUACUGUUGAAGGCAGAGAUGUUGUGGGUCGACACUACGACUUCAGCGAUGGUCAUGAAAGGUUUUAAAAAAAACUUAAUUUUAUUGAUCAGCAUUUCAGGUCAUUGCACAGUUUAAGAAGCAAGUGACUGAACUUUGAGUGGCUGCAAACUGGAGUUAAGCUGGUCUGAGACACAGCAGGUUUGUCUGUUUCACUGUGAUAGGCCUAACUGAACAGAUGUCUCCUAAAUCUGUCUUUACUAUCAGGCGCGCACACACACACACACACACACACACUAGGUUCAAGCCACAUUUGACCUCUUCGUAUGAGUGUUUCUGUCACAAGUGAAUACUUGAUUGCGAUUGCUUGUAAAUAAAAUGCCUAAAACAUUUUAAA